GACCCACAGACUGAAAACGCGGCCAGGCGGUGCCCGAAACAUUAUCCUAGCCUCCAAAGAGGCCAGUUUGGCUUUAUUACACGGGAGAUGUAAUUUAUUGGGAGAAAUGUUUGGGUUCGUGUGUCGGAUGGUGGAGAGUCAGAUUUGGAGUUCCCUGGGGAUCUCCGAGGAGAAGGUGUGUUAAGGAAAUCACCAAGUCCCAGAGUGUAGACGAGCCCGAUCCCUUCGCAGCAGAAGCAGAUGUUCACAAAGCAACUGACCAGGCCAGGUGUGUCCUUCAAGGCUACCUGCAUUCAACAGAGGCGACCACAGCCCAGACCCAUCCUUCUUGGGAGAAUUUCAAGAUGCUCCACAUAGUGGUGCCUAGCGCUCUGUGCACUCAGAGGCUAGAAGAAAAGAUACAGAGGUCCUCUUUCAAGGAGAGGCCCUGAUGUUUCUAUUCUUACAAGGAUUCUUUGGUAAUAAAUACAGUGAAAACACCGUCACCGUGGAGAUAAUACUUAAUGCUCAAGAGGUACGUAGCAGAGAUUGCAUUCCAAUCAAGGACUUCCGUAACCCUGUCUACCAAGCCAGUAUCACCUGUAGGCCAGUUCACCUCCAUCCAGUCACUUUACAGCACUUGAGUGUUUGCUGUCCGCUCAAUUAAAAUCCUACUCUGGUGGGAAAAACCAGAUUUCCAAAUGGGGACUUUAUUGAUUCAAUAAAAUUUAAGAAAUUCUGCUUAUGGAAAAACUCAUUAACCCAAACUAAUAAAUACGAGUUUACCCU
rnacentral:lncRNA from 1 species